AGAGUUUGAUCAUGGCUCAGGAUGAACGCUGGCGGUAUGCUUAACACAUGCAAGUCGAACGAUUUAAUAGAGCUUGCUUUAUUAUUUAGUGGCGCACGGGUGAGUAAUGUACAGGAAUCUACCUCAUGGUGGAGAAUAGCUCGGAGAAAUCUGAAUUAAUUCUGCAUAAUGCCUAAGGGUGAAAGUCGCAAGACGCCAAGAGAUGAGCCUGUAUCCGAUUAGCUAGUUGGUGGGGUAAAUGCCCACCAAGGCUACGAUCGGUAACUGGUUUGAGAAGAUGAUCAGUCACAAUGGAACUGAGAUACGGUCCAUACUCCUACGGGAGGCAGCAGUGGGGAAUAUUCCGCAAUGGGCGAAAGCCUGACGGAGCAAUACCGCGUGUGAGAUGAAGGCCCUAGGGUCGUAAAUCACUGUCAGUGGGGAAGAAAAAAAUGACGGUACCCACAAAGGAAGCACCGGCUAACUCUGUGCCAGCAGCCGCGGUAAGACAGAGGGUGCAAGCGUUAUCCGGAUUUAUUGGGCGUAAAACGUCUGUAGGCGGUUUAAAAAGUCUGAAGUUAAAUAGUCUGGCUCAACCAGAUUUUGCUUUGGAUACUAUUAAACUAGAGUAUGUUAGGGGUUAGUGGAAUUUCCGGUGUAGCGGUGAAAUGCGUAGAUAUC
rnacentral:rRNA from 1 species